AGGUCAUUUCAAAGAGGGCUUGUGGGACUAAAACCAAGAGCUCUUAACGCUGUGACCAAAUAUUGGAGUUCUCCAUAGGAUGUAAUAGUUACUCAAUAGUGCUAUGUUUUCCUGAGGAGAUACAAGA
ensembl:snoRNA small nucleolar RNA, H/ACA box 25